GGCAUGGUGGCUCAGUUGUAAGAGCGCCCGCCUCAUGAACGGGAGGUCGUGGGUUCGAACCCUGGCUGAGUCA
rfam:Strongylocentrotus purpuratus Contig91766_fixed, whole genome shotgun sequence.